rnacentral:rRNA from 1 species
UACUUUCCCUUUUUUUUUAAGAAGGAGAGGUAGUGACAAGAAAAUCAAACUACCCAGGGCCAUCGGCCUUUUUAAUUGGAAUAAACGGGAAUUUACAACCUUACCAAGCCUCAAUUGGAGGGCACGUUCGGGCCAUGAGACGCGACAAUUCCGGCCCCAAUAGCGUAUGUUAAAAUUGUCGCAGUUAAAACCCUCGUAGUUGAAUUUCAAAAAAUGGAUAUUUUAAGCAAGCCCUCAAGGUUAAUCCAAAUAACAGAUUCUCCGAAUCGACUUUGGGCGCAUUUUGCUAUUAUGUGUUCUUUUAAUUAAAAUGAUUCUUUUUAAGGUCUUUCUUUGCUUCGGCUUGGAAGUCCUUGUUACUUUGAGUAAAUUAGAGUGUUCAAAGCAAACAGAUAUAGCAUUGCGCGUUUGAAUACUACAGCAUGGAAUAACAAAAUUGAACAAGUCAGAAUUUUGUUCUUUUUUCUUAUUUUGGCUUAGUUACGAUUAAUAGGAGUAGCUUGGGGGCAUUUGGAUUCAGAUGUCAGAGGUGAAAUCUUAGUUUUCUGAGACACAGAUAAGAAACGGAUACAUGCUAU